AGUCAGUAGACAUGGAGGAUGGGAAGCCUGAUCUGCUGUUAGUCAAAGAGGAGAGAAUAGAAGACGGACCAGAGAGCAUUGACCUGCUGAGUGGACUAAAGAUGGGGGAGCAAGGUGGUUGGCUGGAGGCUGACAGAGGAGACUGGGUGGCCAUCAUGGAUUCCCAGACUCAGACGAGUGCAUCCAAAGGCUCAGGGGACAACAUCACUGAUCAGGCCAGGACCAGAGAUGACAUAUUGUAGACUGGCUGAGACCAGGGCGACGCGUAGAUUUGGUCUGCGGGGACGGGAAGGUGUCCAUAUGAGGCGGGAGAGAACAGACACAGACUAGCGAUGCUCCAUCCUGCUCCUAUAGUUGUGAUUUAGAGAGACUGCCUUCUAUAGGAUCUAUCAACUGGAACAUUGACCCUGCUACAACACAAACACUCCCUGGCCUUCGUCCUCCUCACACUCUCCUAAUGUUAAACCAGACAUCAGACAAUGCCAGUGCCUCAACACUAAAUGGCAACACAAACCCAUUGACAAAUGACAGUCGUAGUGACGUUAUUAGUAGAUCCGGUGGCAAAGAGAAGCGCUUCCCGUGUUCAUUCUGUGGGAAAGCCUUCAGUUUCCCCAAACAGGUGGAUAUCCACCAGAGGAUGCACACAGGGGAAAAAGAAUUUGGCUGCCAACUGUGCCGGGCUAGUUUUUCAGACUCGUCCAACCUGAAGAGGCACCUGAGGGCCCACAGGAGAGAAAUCGUACAGCUGCCCCCAGUGUGAUAAGAGGUUCUCCCAUCAGCACCACCUGAAGAGACACCAGAGGGUCCACAGGGGAGAAAGGCCGUUCACCUGUAUGCACUGCAGGAAGAGGUUCUCAGAGGAGAUACCUCAGGAUCCACCAGCAGAAAAUGCACACAUGUAAUGUAGUAUUAGUUCUUUUGUAGUUAAUUCUGUUGGUUUUGGAUGUAGUAGGGAACUGGAGGAGGUGACUUGAGGGAAGAAUGCGUAUGAUGAGGCAGAGUAGAUGAUAUGGUGAUGUAGGGCUGGGCGAUAUGGCCAAAAUCUCAUAUCCUGAUAACGAUACAUAUCACGAUAUACACAUUUUCUGUAAAUUCAAUGAAUAAAUAGUUUAUAUAAAAUGACCACAUGUAAAGGCCUAUUUCUUAUUACAUUUUGAAUUAUACUCAACAAAUAAAAGGUAUUUACUCA